rnacentral:rRNA from 1 species
AUGACGCUGGCGGCUGCUUACACAUGCAGUCGAACGGCAGCACGGGAGCAUCCUGGUGGCGAGUGGCGAACGGGUGAGUAGUAUAUCGGAACGUGCCCAGUCGUGGGGGAUAACGCAGCGAAAGCUGUGCUAAUACCGCAUACGAUCUACGGAUGAAAGCGGGGGAUCGCAAGACCUCGCGCGAUUGGAGCGGCCGAUAUCAGAUUAGCUAGUUGGUGGGGUAAAGGCCCACCAAGGCGACGAUCUGUAGCUGGUCUGAGAGGACGACCAGCCACACUGGAACUGAGACACGGUCCAGACUCCUACGGGAGGCAGCAGUGGGGAAUUUUGGACAAUGGGCGCAAGCCUGAUCCAGCAAUGCCGCGUGCAGGAUGAAGGCCUUCGGGUUGUAAACUGCUUUUGUACGGAACGAAACGGUCCUUUCUAAUACAAGGGGCUAAUGACGGUACCGUAAGAAUAAGCACCGGCUAACUACGUGCCAGCAGCCGCGGUAAUACGUAGGGUGCGAGCGUUAAUCGGAAUUACUGGGCGUAAAGCGUGCGCAGGCGGUUAUGUAAGACAGAUGUGAAAUCCCCGGGCUCAACCUGGGACCUGCAUUUGUGACUGCAUAGCUAGAGUACGGUAGAGGGGGAUGGAAUUCCGCGUGUAGCAGUGAAAUGCGUAGAUAUGCGGAGGAACACCGAUGGCGAAGGCAAUCCCCUGGACCUGUACUGACGC